rnacentral:rRNA from 1 species
UACCAGCACCCCGAGUGGUCGGGACGUUUUAUUGGGCCUAAAGCAUCCGUAGCCGGUUCUACAAGUCUUCCGUUAAAUCCAACUGCUUAACAGGUGGGCUGCGGAAGAUACUAUAGAGCUAGGAGGCGGGAGAGGCAAGCGGUACUCGAUGGGUAGGGGUAAAAUCCGUUGAUCCAUUGAAGACCACCAGUGGCGAAGGCGGCUUGCCAGAACGCGCUCGACGGUGAGGGAUGAAAGCUGGGGGGAGCAAACCGGG